rnacentral:rRNA from 1 species
GACGAACGCUGGCGGCGUGCUUAACACAUGCAAGUCGAACGGAGUGGCGAACGGGUGAGUAACACGUGGGUGAUCUGCCUUGCACUUCGGGAUAAGCUCGGGAAACUGGGGCUAAUACCGGAUAGUGCAAGAUGAGCUCGCGGCCUAUCAGCUUCUUGGUGUGGUAAUGGCCUACCAAGGCGUCGACGGGUAGCCGGCCUGGGAGGGUGUACGGCGUCAUUGGGACUGAGAGACGGCGCAGACUCCUACGGGAGGAAGCAGUGGGGAAUAUGGCACAAUGGGGGGACGCCUGAUGCAGCGGCGCCGCGUGGGGGAUGAAGGCCUUCGGGUUGAAAACUCCUUUCGACAGGGACGCGGUACCUGUAUAGGAAGCACCGGCUAACUACGUGCCAGCAGCCGCGGUAAUAC